UCCAGCUGUUGAAGAGAAAAACCAAUGUUAAACAGCUUUUAUUUAUCUAAAUGUGGCAAUUUUAUACUCUAAGCACAGCUAAGUGUAUUAGUAUUUUCUUUCUUUGGCACUUCCAUGGUUCAAAUUGUAUUUUAAUACUUAAUUUUUUUAAAAGAAAAAUAUUUGUAUUAUGAGUAAAGGAUAAAAGAGAAAAUGAGACGUGACUUUUGGCUUUAUGGUGAAUAGUCUGUUCUGUAUAGCUGCAUUUUAUACAUAAUAAUUAUGUACUGACUGAAGUUAGUGGUAUGCUGAUAAACCUGGCCUGGCCAAAAAGUAACAGAAGGAAAAAAACCCUGGUUUGUAUGUUUGCCAGUUUCUUUGGUGUGAAAAUACCUACCGUAGCCCCUUUUGAGUCAUCAGUAGUUUAAUAACUGGCUCACAGAAGUCUUCUAUAUUUAACUAUCUACUCAGCCAGCUAGCUCCAGCCUACCAUUGCAAGUUGAAAUAUAUUUUUGCUAUAGAACAUCAUAGCCACAAACGUUAUUCAUUACUUAUGCAACAAGUAUCCACAGAUUAUAGGAGUUCUCAUAGUAGAACUCUUAUAGAAUAUUAGAGUUCUUGAUACCUCAAGGUAAUUAUGAAUAAAAGAAAUUGUGAAAUUAGAAUAGAGAUGUAUAGCAAUUAACUGAAAUUGUCACCCACCUGUCUCUGUUUGCAACCUUUUCUGUCUCUACUUCCUGGUGUCAUAUUUAUAUUCUUAAGAAACUGCACUCAUCAUUUCUAAAAAGUUGGGCUAACUUUACUGCCAGUAGGGAGCAGAUCUGCGUAUGGCAUUCAGGGACCUCCACAAUCUGGACCUUUGUUUCUAGCCUCCCAUUAUCAACCUGCACAAAACAGUAUCUGGCUAAACCUUACACACUUGUCCUGUGCCUUUGUUGUGGUAUCGCUAUGUAAAUACCCUCUCCACCUUCUCAUUCCUUCAUGGGUGACUUCCCAGACCUUCCCACUCAUCUUUUGAAUGUGUUUAUUGCUGACUUGGCAAUACAUCACAAUUUUUUUUUUUUUUUGGUCACAGGUAUUACUGUCUUACAGUGUGAAUACCCCAUGAAAAGGCAGAACUCUUUGCAACUUAUGUCACACCUGUAUCUUUAAGGGCAAGGAUUAUUUGUUGCUAUAGUUUUUAUGUCACUAAAGUGCCUUUUAGUGUCAUAUACACAGUAGAUAACUAAAUGACAUUGAAUAAUAAAGACUAAGAAUGCUAAAGUAGUCUAGGAAUUCCCAAAUCUUAAUGAAAACUCAGAAAUAAACUGUGAUACUAUAUAACACUUUUUCUAAAGGCAUGAGUAAUUUUUUUUUUUUUUUUUUCACCGUUUCCCCUCCAUGGCUAUGAAAGAACUGGGAGAAGGAUCCUCCUUUGAUUAAUUAAAAUUUGAAAUUCACUUUGAAAAUUUAAGUUUAUUAAGGAAGGAAGGAAGAAGGAAAAAUAUGAAGAUGUGAGUAUACGUACCUUGGAGUUUGGAGAUGUGGAAAGGAGUGAAAAAAGAAAUACGUAAGCUGAAGUGCCAAACUCACACUAUUGAAAUAAAGGGCAUGGCCUACCAGCUGACAAGGAGCGUCUGGUUUCAAGAUGGCAAAUGACCUUAAAUAUGAUAGACAAAUACUUUUUACAUAGGUACAUGCACAGAUAUGCACAUAUAAAUCCAUAUUUGCAAGCAAAAAGUGGAACUUCUAAGGCAGAAUUUCUGAGGAAUCUCUGAAAGAUUAAUACUAUAUGGAAUUUGAAGAGGAAACCCAGAGCAGAAGCACAAAGUGAAGUACUGCCACAAAGAGGUGCGAUGCCACCAAAGGUGGUCUAGACCCACAAGAAAGGAAAAUUGGAAGCAGGACAACUAUCUGGAUAUUGACUGCACAUGUCAAUAUCUCAGUCAGACUAACAAAAUCAGCUUUAGGCAGAUAAAUGAAUGGUUGGAGAGAGAAGGCAAUGCCAAAGUGCCCCGCUUUGAAAUGUCCGGCCCAUCCCCAAAUUAGUGUGAAAAUUUCAAAUGUAGUAUAAAUUCCCUUCCCAUCAGAAGUGUCCGAUAAACAGCACUGGUAGAACAGUUUUAACUGAGUAUCACAGCUUCAAUGAUGAGCAUAGAAAACUCCAAAAAUCUGAAUACCAACACUAAAUCAAAAAACAGGUACAAACCACAAGUGGAGAACCAUCUCAAGAAAUAAUGGAGCAUUCAUGGAAUGCAUAUUAGCAACUCUUUUUAACAGUUAAUAUUGCCAAGAGAAACAGGUAAGAGGCCCUCUGGAGAAGUGUCAGAAAUAGAAAAUAUAAUUGUCCAAAUGAUAAAAUCAUCACUAGGCUAAGUAACAAUGGAAACAGCUGAAAAUCAAAAUCAAGGUCUGGAAGAGGAAUUCCAUAUCUUGAUGGAUGGAAUAGAGUGAUAGAAAAUAUGGAGGGAAAAAGACCAGAAUGGGGUAACAGAUGAGACUAGAGAGAAUGAAAAGGAGGGAAUAGUUGAAGAAAGGAUAAAGUGUUUUCCAGAAUCAAUAUUAAACCCUAAGAUUUCAGCGAUGCACCUGAAUGUCAAACAGCAAAUAAAAAUUAAAUCAUAAGUGCAUCACAGAUGAUGAUACCCUGAAAGUUAUUAAUACAAGAAAACAGCAUGGCAGGAGUAAUCUAAACUGACUAAAAUGGUAACUAGAAUUGUGAGAGGUGGAUUUUAAAAUGUAUAUGUUAAAACGUAUGUAGGUAUUCUUUUAAUAACAUUUUGCUGUAGCAUUUAAGCAAACUGUAGACAAUUAACGUUUCUCUUGUUUUCUACAAGCAAUUUUCCACUCUUCUGAAAACAUCAAACUUUGUGAAAGAAUCUUUCACAGAAGUUGAUUUUUAAAUUAAAUUUUAUUCAGAUGUUUUCUUCA